UACAGAGGGUGCGAGCGUUGUCCGGAAUCACUGGGCGUAAAGGGCGCGUAGGUGGCGACCCAAGUCGAUGGUGAAAGCUCGUCGCUCAACGACGAGACGGCCACCGAUACUGGGUUGCUCGAGCACUGUAGAGGCAGAUGGAAUUCCGGGUGUAGCGGUGGAAUGCGUAGAGAUCCGGAAGAACACCGGUGGCGAAGGCGGUCUGCUGGGCAGUAGCUGACACUGAGGCGCGACAGCGUGGGGAGCAAACAGG
rnacentral:rRNA from 1 species